rnacentral:lncRNA from 1 species
GGGUGGGAGCCCUAGUUGGCAUGUGAGAUUAAAGAAGAUCUUCCUCCUCUUAGGUGAGUGAAAAUCUAGAUAUGAUCUAGUGUUUUGGGUGAAGGAAAAACAAAAGAGAGAAGAGAGUCUUCCUCCUUCCUUCCAUCACCAAUUCCUCCUUGUCCAUCUUCCAUUCUGGAGGAGUCCGUGAGAUCCGAAGAAGGACAUAAAUCAGCCAUCAGAAGAUCG